rnacentral:rRNA from 1 species
AUUGAACGCUGGCGGCAGGCCUAACACAUGCAAGUCGAGCGGUAGAGAGGUGCUUGCAUCUCUUGAGAGCGGCGGACGGGUGAGUAAUGCCUAGGAAUCUGCCUGGUAGUGGGGGAUAACGCUCGGAAACGGACGCUAAUACCGCAUACGUCCUACGGGAGAAAGCAGGGGACCUUCGGGCCUUGCGCUAUCAGAUGAGCCUAGGUCGGAUUAGCUAGUUGGUGAGGUAAUGGCUCACCAAGGCGACGUUCCGUAACUGGUCUGAGGGGAUGAUCAGUCACACUGGAACUGAGACACGGUCCAGACGCCUACGGGAGGCAGCAGUGGGGAAUAUUGGACAAUGGGCGAAAGCCUGAUCCAGCCAUGCCGCGUGUGUGAAGAAGGUCUUCGGAUUGUAAAGCACUUUAAGUUGGGAGGAAGGGUCGUUACCUAAUACGUGACGAUUUUGACGUUACCGACAGAAUAAGCACCGGCUAACUCUGUGCCAGCAGCCGCCGUAAGAC